AUGAAUACAAACGUCACAUGUUGGCAUGUACGUAUCGAUUGUGUGUUUUGUAUGGUCGCGUGUUGGGGGUGGGCUGCGGGUGUGUGCGUGCGCGUGUGUGCAUGUGUGCGCGCGUGUGUGCAUAGAUCUUUAGUUGUAGUCUAACACAUUGACGAACGUGACAACUAGGACUGUCAUCUGUACUCUUGUCUGUAAGCCAGGUACUGUACACUCUGGCAUCCUGAUGGGAUAGUUGAAUAAAAUUAAUGUUUAAUAAUUGCGCGGAAUUGACUUCAAUAACGAAAACGCAUUUUUAGUACUUCAAAUUUCUCUAUGGCUGUCCUGGUAGUACAACGUGGGGUUGUUCUGUCAUUACAAUAAUAGCCAGCUUUUCGGUGAUGUCAAAACAUAUACAGACGCAUUUUUCAGCCAACAUAUCGAAACUCAUUUGCUUGGAUCAAAUGACAAGAUUCUCUAGGUUUUCAUAUCAAUCAUGGGUUCUUUGACAAAUACUUACCACCGUACUCAGCCACAAAAAAACAUGGACAGAUUUCGGCCGUAUUGUCACAUUGACAAUAUCGAAAUUAUUAACGAAUAUUUGGACAGCCGGGCGGCUAGGUCUGGGUAGGAAAUAAAUAUCGCUAUGGUCUUAUUAAGUUGCAUUUAGCAAGCCUCACGAACUUGCGAGGCACACCCUGCAGGAGAGCGCAGAUUCUGUGAUCCACCGACGGACCUCCACCCCACAGAGCAGCCCACACCGCCGCCGCCACAAAGCAGCCUACACCGUCGCCACCUGGUGCCCGCCACCACAGAGGCGUCGCCGCCUGGUGUCCACCAGCACAGGGCCGUCGCCGCCUGGUGCCCACCACCGCAGAGCUGUCGCCGCCUGGUGCCUGUCGCAGAGCCACCGCCGCCUGGUGUCCACCAGCGCAGAGCCGUCGCCACCUGGUGUCCACCACAGAGCUGCCAGCUUGUAAAUAAAGAUGAUAAAAUUAUAAAUAACAAAAUCAGAUUAGUAAUUUUGUUGGUAUAAUAACAAGACGAUUUAUUGUUCAAUGUAUUUAAUCCGAAUUUUUGUAAAAUAACAGAAUUGUGUACUUGGAA